rnacentral:rRNA from 1 species
ACGCUCGACACCUACGGGAGCAGCAGUGGGGAAUAUUGCACAAUGGGGGAAACCCUGAUGCAGCGACGCCGCGUGAGUGAAGAAGUAUUUCGGUAUGUAAAGCUCUAUCAGCAGGGAAGAAAAUGACGGUACCUGACUAAGAAGCCCCGGCUAACUACGUGCCAGUAGCCGCGGUAAUCUGAGCGGGCUGGCAAGGC